CAGACAAUCUCUGAAGAGUAUUGAUAAUGGCUGGGGUAACCCAUCUUGUAAAGACGCUGCCCAAAAGAAGGCAAUUGCAAACCUCUUCUGUAGAUACAUUUGCCAAGAACAAUCAUGGUCGUGAGACCGUGAUCACCCACAUCAUAUGACAUGAUACAUAAUGGUCUUGAUAAUGAUGUAUACCUUAUACAACCUUGAGAUACAUCUGAAUUUCAGAUAACCAGCCCUUCCAGUUUGCAUCAGAACUGACAAAUUAGUGUGGUAGCUGUCUGUAAACAGUGAAGAUGAAUAGCAAUGCAUUCCCUACCCUGCACCUAUUUCGUGAACUGGUUUUCCCUAGCUGGCUCCAAGAUGUCACUGUGGAAGUCAAUCUUCACGACACUGAAUAGUCAGAGAAGGAAUUCCUGACCACCCAACAGUGUUGUUGGUAACUUCCAAAGACAUGGCAAAGCAUCAUCACACAUUAUAAUCCAGUGUCACUCAAGUCUUCAAAACAUAAAUUUGAGGAAUUUUACAGAUGCUGGAGAUCCGGAGUAAUACACACAAAAUGUUGGAAAAACUCAACAAGUCAGGCAGUAUCUAUGGAACUGGGUAAACAGUCAACAUUUCAAGCUGAGAGCUUUCUUCAGGACUGAGAAGAAAGGGGGAAGAAGCCAGAAUGAAAAGGUCAAGGGGGUGGGUGGAAUAAGGGGAAGGAGGCUAGUGUGAAAGUGAUAGGUGAAGCCAGGUGGGUGGGAAAGGUCAAGCUGGAGAUGAAGGAAUCUUUUAGGAGAGGAGAAUGGACCGUAGAAGAAAGGGAAGGAGGGGAAGUCAUAAGAAAGGUGAGAAGAGGUAAAAGGUCAGAGUGGGGAACAGAGGAAAGGGGAAGGAGGAAAAUUUAGUUACCAGAAGGUGAAAUCGAUAUUCAUGUUAUUGGGUUGAAGGUUACCAGAUGGAAUAUAAGGUGUUACUCCUCCACCCUGAUGGUAGCCUCAUCUUGGCACAAGAGGAGGCCAUGGACUGACAUGUCAGAACAGGAAUGGGAAUAGGAAUGAAAAUGCUUGGCCACCAGGAAAUCCGGCUUGUGGCAUACGGUGUGGAGGUACUUGGUGAAACAGAUCUCCAACUUAAGACAAGUCUCACCAAUGUAGAGAAGGCCGCAUUGGGGGCACCGGACACAAUAGACAACCCUAGAUGUUUCACAGGUGAAGUGUUGGGGCCCUGAAUGGAGGUGAGAAGGUGGAGUUGAUUUUACUCCACUGCCAUCAAAUGUGUGGGCUUGAGGUAAAUUUGCCAGGUCCGAAGAAGAGGUGCAGGCAGAUUUCCCCAUCUUGAGUUCUCGGGAGUUCCAGCAAAUUGGUGGUUUGCCUCUGCAGAGGAGGAUGGCGGUGACCAAUCGUCUGGCAAGAAUCUGCCAGGGCCAAUAUGAACAGGACAAGCAACGUCUGUUUUGCCAGUCUGAUUGAAGAAUUGACAGGGAACCAAGUAGUUUGAACCACAAAAUAAUUCCAGCACAGUGGAAGGAUUGAUUCAGACUUACAGAGCAAGUCCUCACACCUCAGGAGAGAAAAGCAUCUACCUUAUCUUUGGUGGGCACCUUACUGCUGCAACAUUCCUUUUUCCAAGGGUUUCCCAACCUUUUUUAUGCCAUGGACACGUACCAUCAACCGAGGAGUUCAUGGACCCCAGAUCGGGAGCCCCAAGUUAAGUGACUAUUUUUCUUACCUUAAUGCUUUUACCUGCAGCCAGGCUUUCAUUCAAUCUUCUUGAAUCUCUUGACAUCCAAUGGACAUGCCAGUAAUGAUCCUGGUUGUGGUGGAGGAAGGGGGCGUUCACAUACUAGGAUUAUCACCGUUUAGAAAUGCAACUCAGGCAGAAACACCUAUUUAGCCUACUGAAUUUUCAGACCAACAAAAAAGUCAGCAUCUACAGAGAGAAAUGGAUAAAUCCAGAUGAAGGAUCUCAACCUGAAAAUUUGCUGUCCAUUUCCCUACUCUGAUAUCGAACCUGCUGAGUUCUUCUAGCUUUAGGCAUCGGAACAUAGGGGCAGAAAAGGCAAAUUAAGAAUCUCUCAGGGUGGGGGCAGUACUCUCACAUUGUACCACCAUUUUAUAAAGAAGCUAGUUGCCAAACUAUGAGAAAUGUCCUCUGUAUCUUUGCCUUGUGAUGAUAUUGGGGAAAAGUCCAUAUUGAAUGCUGGUAGGAUCCUGAUGCCUGUCCCUGCAAGGAAUAUAUUGUUCAUGAUAAAAAUAGAAAAUGUCUGUCCUGCUGAGUUCCUCCAGCAUUUUGUGUGAGUUCCUCUAGCAGCUGUUUUUUUUUGUUCCAUCUUUCAGCAUUUGCAUUCUCUUGUGUCUCCUUCAGACUUGAAUCUUUCAAAACAUGUCAAGCUUCCAAUUUCUUUCCUAUUAGAAAUAAUGGUGUCUAUUCAAGUCCCAACCAUAGGCAAAAUUUGCCAUUAAAAUAAUCUUGUCCACAGUGUGAAAAUUACUGAAAAUUUGCAUUUUUAUGCAAAACAAUCCUUGCAAGCAAUCACAGAGAGAUAAAUGCAAUGGGUUAAUCAUCAACAUUGUUUGUCAGAAGUGAAAUUUCCAUUGUUCUUUUUAUAGAGGACAGUGUCAUUCCGUGAUUCAAAGGCUUGUGAGCUCCUGAGAUCCUGAAAUCGAUGACACCUGGAGUUUAGUCACCCCGGUGCUUAGUUCCUUGCAGGGUCACCCCUAGCAGGAGGUUCCCGAGAAAGAGCGAUCCAACCUAGACCUCUAUGGUGGAGCUCGCAGGAGAUACCACGAUGGCAGUGAAAGCAGAAGAAUGCUGCAGCAGUGAAAGGCCCCCUUCAUUUUGCACUCCAUGCCACUAGACCCUGAACCCGAUUUGUUAAGGAUUGUGAGGUGGUUGCCCAUGCAUCAACCUCCCCGCGAUAUACAAAGUGACAGGCAUCCUCCAUCAAGGGAGAAAGUCAUUCUUGAUUCAAGUGAUCGCACUACUACUAGAGGACAGUGACAGCAUGACAAGGUGAGGCACACUCUGUCAUAGAAUUAUAGAGUUAGCGAAUACUGCAGCACAGAAACAGACCCUUCAGCCAAUCUAAUCCAUGCCAAGCUAUUAGUCAGCAUAGUCCCAUUGGCCUGCGCCAGACCAUUGUCCUCAAUACCACUCUCAUCCAUGCACGUAUCUAAAUUGCUCUUAAAUGUUGAAAUCGAACCUACAUCCAUCACUUGUGCUCACAGCUCAUUCCACACUUGCAUCAUCCUCUGAGUGCCAAGUUUCCCCCUCAUGUCACCUUAAACUUUUCACCUUUCACCCUUAACCCAUGACCUUGAGUUGUAGUCUCACCCAAUCCCAGUGGGAAAAGUUUGCUUGAAUUUAAUCUUUCUAUACCCCUCAUAAUUCUGUAUACCUCUAUCUAAUCACCCCUUGAUCUUCUAUGUUCCAAGUCUGAACCUAUUCAAUCUUUCCCUACAACUCAAGCCCUUAAAUCCCAGCAACAUCCUUGUAAAUUUUCUCUGUGCUCUUUCAGCCUUGUUUACAUCUUUCCUGUAGGUAAGUGACCACAGCUGCGCACAGUACUCCAAAUUAGGCCUCACCAACAUCUUAUACAACUUCAACAUUACACCCCAUCUUCUUUAAACAUUAUGGUAAUUUAUGAAGGCCAAUAUUCCAAACGUUUUGUUUAUUACGCUAUCUGAGAUGCCACUUCCAAGGAUUUAAGGGUCUAUGUUUCCAGAUCCCUUUGUUCUCCUCAGUGCCCUACAACUCUCUGUGUAAGAUCUACCCUUGUUUUGGUCCUCUCAAAGUGCAACACCUCACACUUACCUGCAUUAAAUUUCAUCUGCCAUUUCUCAGCCCAUUUUUCCAGCUAGUCCAAAUCUUUCUGCAAGCUUUGAUAGUCUUCCUUGCUGUCCACUACACCUCUCAGUCUUGGUGUCAUCUGCAAAUCCAGUUCACCACAUUUAUCAACCAGAUCAUUGAUAUAGAUGGCAAAUACCAAUGAACCCAGCACUGAUCCCUAUGGCAGACCAUGGGACACAGGCCUCCACUCAGAGGAGCGACCAUCUACAACCACCCUCUGACUUCUCCCGCGAAGCCGUUGUCUAAUCCAAUCUUUCUUCACAACCAUUCCUCUAUCUGUCUGACACUCUGGUUCCCAUACCACUGCAACUCUGGUUUAAACCUCCACUGCCCACACUCUCACUCCCAUGCAGCACAAGCAAGCCUUCCCACUGAGAUAUUAGUCCCCUUCCAGUUCAGGCGUAAACUGUACCUUCUGUACAGGUACCACCUUCCCUGGAAAGACAGACCAAAAAUCAAAAAAAUCUGAAGCCCUCUCUCCUGCAUCAUCUCCUUAUGCAUGUAUUAAACUGUAUGACCUUCAUACUUCUGGCCUAACUAGCAAGUUGGCAUGGGUUGUAAUCAUUGAUAGCUUUCUUCGCUGUCUACUGAUUUGGUGUUAUCCAUGUUAUCAGUUAAUUUGAUAUUUCUGUGCUUAGCCUUUGCUGACCUACAUUUUGGAUGCAUAAGAAGGGGUCAAUGUAGUCAGUCACAUAUGCACUGCUUAAAGGAGGUCCAGACCGAGAGGAGCACACAAGCAAGAAUUAAAUCUGAUCCAGGAAGCAGCGAAGGAUUGCUCGAAGAGGAAGAGAGUGGGAUCAAGAUAUUCAGAUGCUGCCCAGAGGUCUAAUGGGAAAAUUUGGAAAGAUGUGACUAAGCAGGGGGUGUGGAGGCUCACUGAAGCCAGACAGUGGGAGUGGAUAGAUAAGGAGGCAGGAUAAAAGUCACACAUUCAGGACGUUGAGUAGGGCCUGAGAAAUUCAGUGACCUCAGAUCUGUGGUGAUGAUGAAUGAAGUCACUUCGAAAUGCCACAUCAACCCAUCUGCAGCACAAUCUCCACCAUUCACCCAUCAUCAGUCAAGAGUACCUGAACUGACAUGCUCCACUGCACCUCCACGUACUUGGUGUUUCUGCAGUCUCACCCCCAUGUCUCACAGCUAAUCAUGUAUGUCUUCCGAGCUGAUGACACACUUCCUUAACUCUUGCAGGGCAGUGAACAUUCAGAGCUGAUGGACUGAGGGCCCAUUUGCUUAAUCUCUUGGAGAUAGUGCAAGUCAUGACUGAGGAAGCCAUUAUAGAGGCUGUAGCUUGGAAUGGAGAUGAAACUAUUAAAGAAUGAUAAUUUCUUUGGCAGUUUGAAUGGGGCACGACUGCACAAGCGCGUGAAGGUCGGCCUCUGAGAUCAGCAGGAGAGUUUAAAAAGCGGAACGGGCGACGGAGUAGUGGGAGACGGAGUAGGAAGGCUUUGGCUUGAGAGGCUUCGGCGAGCAGGGGCUGAGGACGAGCUUGCUCCCAGUGGGGUGGAGGAAACCAGAGGUCCAUGAGCCAGUCCUCAUCGGAGGAUCAGAGUUAGAGAGGGUCGGCAACUUUUAAGCUCAACAGGCGACUGAAGAAGUUCGGCAUGAGCCCCCAAAUCCUCAAGACCUUCUACAGGGUCACCAUCAAGAGCAUCCUGACUGACUGUACCACCGCUUGAUACGGGAACUGCACCAACCUUAAUUGCUGGGCACUGCCGAGAGAGGUACGGACAGCCCAGUGGAUGUGAACUUCCCUCCACUGAGGACAUUUACAGUAGCAGGUGCAGAAAAAAAGCCUGGAAGAUCAUCAGGGACGCCAGUCACCCCAACCAUAAACUGUUUCAGCUGCUUCUCUCUGGCAAAUGGUACCACAGCAUUAAAGCCAGGAGCAACAGGCUAUGGGACAGCUUCUUUCUCCAAGCCAGUAGACUUUUAAAUUCACAGUGUGAUUUACAGUCCUGCGUUUAAAGAAAAGCUGGAGAGCUUUAAGUUGUGACUAUAGAAUGACCUCAUCAGUAUGACUGGAUUUAAUCAAUGACAAUCUCUCUCGGGGAACAUGAGGAUGUUCUUAUCUACAAACUGCAUUAACCGCAGGAGCUUAUGCACUACGUAAGGUGCAGUAUUCCUAGCCAAUCUCCGAAGGUGUUGUACACUCUGAAGUUCAGUUUCAGAUUUACCAUUGAUGAUAACAACUUGGCAGCACUUCUUGUAUUCCUAUUCUCUGAUGUCAGAGAUAUCAAGGAACCAAUGACUUCGAAAUGACCUGAAAAGGUAACUCAAUUAUGCUUUUGAAUUAUAUCUUGGUGCCUUAAUAGGGAGUCAUCAGGUUGGAGAUUCAUCCAUGGACAUAACAAAUUGCAAAUAGAUCUAUUUUACAAUCAUCUUUCUGCAGAUCAAUUUCCCUUCAAGUGUCAUUGGAAUAGUUCUAAGUGUAAACUGAAGAGUACGCAGCAAGUCAUCGAGACUGUAGGCGGGAGUUGGACCAACUUUGUUUACUCUCCCACGAUGUUUACUCCUCUAUCCAUGACGCUGAGGCUGUGAGACUGCCUGCCCUGGCUGCUGUGCUUCGCGUCUGCGAGAUUCACAGUGAUUUACCCUGCUAAUAUGACAAACUGAGACCGAGGCUUGAGGCCUGCUCUGGGGGUUCGGAUCUAAGGACCCAAUCUGAUUCGGAAUGCUGUGCUCAUUUCUACUGUUUGCAUGCUUUUUUCUCUUUCUCUGUGCAUUGGGUGUUGGAUUGAUUUUUUCUAAAUUGGGUUCUUCCAGGACUCUUGCUUUAUGGCUGCCUGUAAGCAGACAAAUCUCAUGGUUGUAUAACUUAUACAUUUUUUGAUAAUCAAUGUAUUUGAAUUUUGAAUAUAUGUCUCUCCUCUAAAUGUUUUACCAUGCAAGUUUCAGUUUUUUAGCUCUCCAUUCUUCAACAGGCAGACACCGCAUGUUAACGAAGAAGUAAAAGGAAAACAUUCCAGCUAUUAAGGCCAAUGCAAUGAAAAUGCAUUCAAAGAAGCAGAAAGAUAAUUGUUCACUAAAUGCUGAAACACUGGCAUCAAUGUGCCAAAAAAUUACUUGUUUAUACUAAAGAAAUGCAAUUGCUUGAGGCUGUUUAGUACCUGGAGUGAUUGGAUCAGGCUAAUGGGAGGUGUGACCACUCUGAAUAAUUUUGCACAAAAAUAGACCUUUUUUGUUCUAAUUGUGCUUUGUUCUUGUAAAAUCUGUGCGUAAUUUAUGCUUAAUUUGUGUUUUAUGGUGAACAGUGCUUUAGGAUGCACUGUGCCUAUGAUACUCCAGCAGGUAAGAUUUACAUUGCAUUUGUGCUUAUGGGAUUAAAAUCAACUUUGUCUUUCCAUCCAAGCAGGGGAAUUAACAGCUAACCAUUAUGUAUUAAGAAAAUGUAGAUAAAAGAUUGUACUAGUACCUGUAACAUACCUCAGGCUCAAAUGUCCUUAAUCUUUUGGCUGUAUAUUUGAUUUGAGGCUUUGGCCUGUGUAUAAAUUCAUGUCCUCUAUGUUAUAUACAGAGAUGUGUUAGUGACAGAACAAUACAUGCUAUAAUGAUAUUAGAAAUUAUGUUACUUUUGAGUGGGGGAGCUUUUGAGCAUGAAUACUACUUUAUAUUUCAUUAGGUGGUGGGGUGGAGAUAUGUUUGUACUAAAGGAGGUGUAAGGCGCUUCUUCCCUCGUUAGCCUGUAGGUCACCUUUGGGCCAGGUCUAGUGCCUGCUUAGCACCCCAGUCCCCCAAUCAGGGUCACAUGAAGCCAUGACAGCAGGUGGUGGAUGGUCAGAUGAGCAGUUGAUGUGUAUCACAAGUCCUGGUUAUGUGACCACUGACGCCAGGCAGACAAUCUCUGAAGA